CCUACGGGUGGCAGCAGUGAGGAAUAUUGGUCAAUGGACGAGAGUCUGAACCAGCCAAGUAGCGUGAAGGAUGACUGCCCUAUGGGUUGUAAACUUCUUUUAUAAAGGAAUAAAACGAGGCACGUGUGCCUUUUUGCAUGUACUUUAUGAAUAAGGAUCGGCUAACUCCGUGCCAGCAGCCGCGGUAAUACGGAGGAUCCGAGCGUUAUCCGGAUUUAUUGGGUUUAAAGGGAGCGUAGAUGGGUUGUUAAGUCAGUUGUUAAAGUUUGCGGCUCAACCGUAAAAUUGCAAUUGAUACUGGCAGUCUUGAGUACAGUUGAGGUAAGCGGAAGUCGUGGUGUAGCGGUGAAAUGCUUAGAUAUCACGAAGAACCCUGAUUGCGAAGGCAGCUUACUAAACUGUGACUGACAUUGAUGCUAGAAAGUGUGGGUAUAAAACAGGAUCAGAUACCACUGUAGUC
rnacentral:rRNA from 1 species